ensembl:lncRNA
GGACAUCCUGAAGAUGGACUCCACCAAGAAGAUCGCCAAAAAGCUCGCGGGCGCCGCCGCCGGGUCUGCCGCCUGGAUGACCAACGUUGGCAACGAGUACGGGCAGGUGCUCGUGUCCGUUCUCACCUCGGCCGAGGGGGAGGGACUUACCAACAUGGCGGUCGGCCUCAUGCGGCGGUACCGCGAAGCCGGGAAGGCCCCUCCGAGGGUCCUGUAUGUGGACCGGGACUGCUGUGCCGCCGUGGGCAAUUCUGCCACGCACGGCAUGUACCACGAGUGGCAAGAGCUGGUGGUGCGGCUGGACGGGUGGCACCUCAUGCGGCGCUUCGCGAGGGGCGUCACCACCGACAGCCACCAGCUCUACGGCCUCUUCAUGGCCAGGCUGUCCUUCGCCAUCUUUGAGUGGGACGGUGAGGACGUGCGGCGCCUGAAGGAGGCCAAGCAGUCCUCGGAGGGGAUGGACGCCCAGGUCACGCUGUCCGCCAAGGAGCUGGCUCGCCACUGUCGCCGCCGUACGAGGGGUGUGGCGGAGACGGAGCGGCUCAUCCAGGAGGUGCUGGACGCCUUCUGGCAUGUGACGGACACCAUGGGCGUCGCUUUGAUCGACCGCGCCCGCAUGGAGGACAUCUGGGGCACGCAGCGCCGCCACCUCGACUGCGUCCAGGACCCAGAGGGGGUGGAGCUGUACACCAAGACGGGAGAGAUCACCAAGGGUGGUGUGAGGCUCCCCGUCUUCCGGUGCGCUCGCGGCUCCACCUCCCUCGAGUCCUUCCACCUGCACCAGUGCCGCUUCGUUCCGGGUACCACCUCGAGUGACGUCCACUAUCAGGUGUACCUGCUGGAGGGCCUGGCUCGGUGGAACGAGAACCGCGGCAGGGCGGCAGUCGAGGGAGGACCGCGAGCGGCGCUGCGGUGCUACAGCGCCCGGCUGCAGCACAGCUUCAACGAGCUGGCCUCUGAGGUCAACGGGGUCCAGCCGGUCGACGACUUCACCCAGCCCAGAGAGUACACAGGGGAACUCUUGGGGGUGGAGUACCUGUACUCCCAGUCGGGCGCUGUGCUGCAGCCGGAUCCCGACCCUCUGGAUGGGGCAGAGGAGGAGGAAGAGGCCGCCGCCGAUGACGGCUACGAGGAGGAGGAGGAGCAGCCGGAGGAGGAGCCAGAGGAGAUCCGUCUCCUGGCACACCACAGCGCCCUCCUCCAGCAGCCCCGCGGUGUGCUCAAGGUAGAUGCCACCUUGGGAUCGCCCCUUUCCGAGGAGGAGGAGGAGGAGGAGGAGGAAGACGUCGUCGGGCCGGACGGUCAGCCCGGGUACCACCACGCGGUGGCCCUGGCCCACGGCCUCGUGGAGCUGCGUCACCACGCCUUCGUCACCGCCCGUCAGACCAGAGGCAUCAUCGCUCUCUGGGAGAGGCUGACGGAGCGGGACAAGGCGCCGGUGACCUUCACCCCCCGCCACCAGGACCGGCUGGCUAAAGGUCGGUUCAAGACCAGCAACCGCCACGCCCACAUCCCGGGAGUGGACAGUGUGAAGCGUGUCGUCGUGGGUAAGGGUGCGGGAGCGGCACAGUACCCAAGCCUCAGCAGGGUCGUCGAGGCCAUCAUGUUGGAGCUGUGCCGCGUCCACAGCAGCGACGCCAAGACCAUCGCCGGGGCACGCCUCAACCGCUGGGGUGCCGUCAUGAGGGACUACAAGU